GCAAGUCGAACGAGAUUAGUUCUGAGUUUACUUAGAGCUAUGACAGUGGCGGACGAGCGAGUAACACGUAAGUAGCUGCCUUGUACUCGGGGACAACUAGUCGAAAGAUUAGCUAAUACCGGAUGGUCUCGAAAGAGUAAAGAUUUAUCGGUACAAGAGGUGCUUGCGGCCUAUCAGCUUGUUGGUGAGGUAAAGGCUUACCAAGGCUAUGACGGGUAUCUGGUGUGAGAGCACGACC
rnacentral:rRNA from 1 species